UCCCUGGUGGUCCAGUGGCUAGGACUACAUGCUCCCAAUGCAUGGGGUGCAGGUUCAAUCCCUGAACAGGGAA
rnacentral:tRNA from 1 species